GAUGAACGCUGGCGGCGUGCUUAACACAUGCAAGUCGAACGAGAAGUGAAGACGGAAACCUUCGGGCGGAAGGCUUUAUUUCGAGUGGCGGACGGGUGAGUAACGCGUGGGUAACCUGCCUCAUACAGGGGGAUAACAGUUGGAAACGACUGUUAAUACCGCAUAAGACCACAGCACCGCAUGGUGCGGGGGUAAAAACUCCGGUGGUAUGAGAUGGACCCGCGUUCGAUUAGCCAGUUGGCGGGGUAACGGCCCACCAAAGCGACGAUCGAUAGCCGAUCUGAGAGGAUGACCGGCCACAUUGGGACUGAGACACGGCCCAAACUCCUACGGGAGGCAGCAGUGGGGAAUAUUGCACAAUGGGGGAAACCCUGAUGCAGCGACGCCGCGUGAGUGAAGAAGUAUUUCGGUAUGUAAAGCUCUAUCAGUAGGGAAGAAAAUGACGGUACCUGAGUAAGAAGCCCCGGCUAACUACGUG
rnacentral:rRNA from 1 species